rnacentral:rRNA from 1 species
GGAUUCCCCUAGUAACUGCGAGUGAAGCGGGAAAAGCUCAAAUUUAAAAUCUGGUAGUCUUUGGCUGCCCGAGUUGUAAUCUAGAGAAGCAUUAUCCGCGCUGGACCGUGUACAAGUGUCCUGGAAUGGACCAUCAUAGAGGGUGAGAAUCCCGUCUUUGACACGGACUACCAGGGCUUUGUGAUGUGCUCUCAAAGAGUCGAGUUGUUUGGGAAUGCAGCUCUAAAUGGGUGGUAAAUUCCAUCUAAAGCUAAAUAUUGGCGAGAGACCGAUAGCGAACAAGUACCGUGAGGGAAAGAUGAAAAGAACUUUGGAAAGAGAGUUAAACAGUACGUGAAAUUGCUGAAAGGGAAACGCUUGAAGUCAGUCGCGUUGGCUGGGGAUCAACCUUGGUUCUUGCUUGGCUUACUUCCCAGUYGACGGGUCAGCAUCAGUUUUGACCGGUGGAUAAAGGUCAGGGGAAUGUGGCACCUUCGGGUGUGUUAUAGCCUUGGUCA